GGGUUUGAUUAUGGCUCAGGAUGAACGCUGGCGGCGUGCUUAACACAUGCAAGUCGAACGAACCUUCGGGUUAGUGGCGGACGGGUGAGUAACGCGUGAGAAUCUGCCCUCAGGAGGGGGAUAACGGUUGGAAACGACCGCUAAUACCCCAUAUGCCGCGAGGUGAAAUGAAUUUCGCCUGAGGAUGAGCUCGCGUCUGAUUAGUUAGUUGGUGGGGUAAAGGCCUACCAAGACAUCGAUCAGUAGCUGGUCUGAGAGGAUGAUCAGCCACACUGGGACUGAGACACGGCCCAGACUCCUACGGGAGGCAGCAGUGGGGAAUUUUCCGCAAUGGGCGAAAGCCUGACGGAGCAACGCCGCGUGAGGGAUGAAGGCCUCUGGGCUGUAAACCUCUUUUAUCAAGGAAGAAGAUCUGACGGUACUUGAUGAAUAAGCCACGGCUAAUUCCGUGC
rnacentral:rRNA from 1 species